ACGAACGUUGGCGGCGUGGAUAAGGCAUGCAAGUCGAACGAUCUUAUUGAGUAUUUUGGCUUCGGUCAGAAGACUUGAUUUGAUAGUGGCAAAAGGGUGAGUAACGAGUGAGUAAUCUACCUUCGAGCUCGGGACAACCCGCCGAAAGGCGGGCUAAUACCGAAUAAGACCAAAACCCUGCAUGGGGUUGAGGUCAAAGGCAGGGACCGCAAGGCCUGUCACUUGAAGAUGAGCUCGCUUUCUAUCAGCUUGUUGGUGAGGUAAUGGCUCACCAAGGCUACGACGGAUAGCUGGUCUGAGAGGAUGGUCAGCCACACUGGGACUGAGACACUGCCCAGACUCC
rnacentral:rRNA from 1 species